rnacentral:rRNA from 1 species
CAGCCGCCGCGGGAAUACGGAGGGUGCAAGCGUUAAUCGGAAUUACUGGGCGUAAAGCGCACGCAGGCGGUCUGUUAAGUCAGAUGUGAAAUCCCCGGGCUUAACCUGGGAACUGCAUUUGAAACUGGCAGGCUUGAGUCUUGUAGAGGGGGUAGAAUUCCAGGUGUAGCGGUGAAAUGCGUAGAGAUCUGGAGGAAUACCGGUGGCGAAGGCGGCCCCCUGGACAAAGACUGACGCUCAGGUGCGAAAGCGUGGGGAGCAAACAGGAUUAGAGACCCGCGUAGUCCCUGUCUCUUAUACA